rnacentral:rRNA from 1 species
CCUACGGGUGGCAGCAGUGGGGAAUAUUGCACAAUGGGGGAAACCCUGAUGCAGCGACGCCGCGUGAGUGAAGAAGUAAUUCGUUAUGUAAACCUCUAUCAGCAGGGAAGAAAAGGCCGGUACCUGAUUAAGAAGCACCGGCUAACUACGUCCCAGCAGCCGCGGGAAUACGGAGGGGGCAAGCGUUCGCCGGAUUUACGGGGUGUAAAGGGAGCGUAGACGGCAGUGCAAGUCUGGAGUGAAAGGCGGGGGCUCAACCCCGGGACUGCUCUGGAAACUGUACGGCUGGAGUGCAGGAGAGGUGAGUGGAAGUCCAGGUGUAGCGGUGAAAUGCGUAGAUAUGAGGAGGAACACCAGUGGCGAAGGCGGCUUACUGGACUGUAACUGACGUUGAGGCGCGAAAGCGUGGGGAGCAAACAGGAUUAGAUACCCCAGUAGUC